rnacentral:rRNA from 1 species
UAGGGAAUCUUCCGCAAUGGACGCAAGUCUGACGGAGCAACGCCGCGUGAGUGAAGAAGGUCUUCGGAUCGUAAAGCUCUGUUGUUAGAGAAGAACAGCGCAUAGAGUAACUGAUAUGCGUGUGACGGUAUCUAACCAGAAAGCCACGGCUAACUACGUGCCAGCAGCCGCGGUAAUACGUAGGUGGCGAGCGUUGUCCGGAUUUAUUGGGCGUAAAGGGAGUGUAGGCGGUCUUUUAAGUCUGAUGUGAAAGCCCACGGCUCAACCGUGGAGGGUCAUUGGAAACUGGGAGACUUGAGUGCAGAAGAGGAGAGCGGAAUUCCAUGUGUAGCGGUGAAAUGCGUAGAUAUAUGGAGGAACACCAGUGGCGAAGGCGGCUCUCUGGUCUGUAACUGACGCUGAGGCUCGAAAGCGUGGGGAGCAAACA